rnacentral:rRNA from 1 species
AGCCCUCUCUGGGGCGAGCCGCCGGGGACUACUGAACUUCAUGCCUGAGAGUGAUGCAG